GUUAGUCGGGUCCUAAGCUGAGGCCGACAGGCGUAGGCGAUGGAUAACAGGUUGAUAUUCCUGUACCACCUAUAAUCGUUUUAAUCGAUGGGGGGACGCAGUAGGAUAGGCGAAGCGUGCGAUUGGAUUGCACGUCUAAGCAGUAAGGCUGAGUAUUAGGCAAAUCCGGUACUCGUUAAGGCUGAGCUGUGAUGGGGAGAAGACAUUGAGUCUUCGAGUCGUUGAUUUCACACUGCCGAGAAAAGCCUCUAGAUAGAAAAUAGGUGCCCGUACCGCAAACCGACACAGGUAGUCAAGAUGAGAAUUCUAAGGUGAGCGAGCGAACUCUCGUUAAGGAACUCGGCAAAAUGACCCCGUAACUUCGGGAGAAGGGGUGCUCUUUAGGGUUAACGCCCAGAAGAGCCGCAGUGAAUAGGCCCAAGCGACUGUUUAUCAAAAACACAGGUCUCUGCUAAACCGUAAGGUGAUGUAUAGGGGCUGACGCCUGCCCGGUGCUGGAAGGUUAAGAGGAGUGGUUAGCUUCUGCGAAGCUACGAAUCGAAGCCCCAGUAAACGGCGGCCGUAACUAUAACGGUCCUAAGGUAGCGAAAUUCCUUGUCGGGUAAGUUCCGACCCGCACGAAAGGCGUAACGAUUUGGGCACUGUCUCAACGAGAGACUCGGUGAAAUCAUAGUACCUGUGAAGAUGCAGGUUACCCGCGACAGGACGGAAAGACCCCGUGGAGCUUUACUGUAGCCUGAUAUUGAAAUUCGGCACAGCUUGUACAGGAUAGGUAGGAGCCUUUGAAACGUGAGCGCUAGCUUACGUGGAGGCGCUGGUGGGAUACUACCCUAGCUGUGUUGGCUUUCUAACCCGCACCACUUAUCGUGGUGGGAGACAGUGUCAGGCGGGCAGUUUGACUGGGGCGGUCGCCUCCUAAAAGGUAACGGAGGCGCUCAAAGGUUCCCUCAGAAUGGUUGGAAAUCAUUCAUAGAGUGUAAAGGCAUAAGGGAGCUUGACUGCGAGACCUACAAGUCGAGCAGGGUCGAAAGACGGACUUAGUGAUCCGGUGGUUCCGCAUGGAAGGGCCAUCGCUCAACGGAUAAAAGCUACCCCGGGGAUAACAGGCUUAUCUCCCCCAAGAGUUCACAUCGACGGGGAGGUUUGGCACCUCGAUGUCGGCUCAUCGCAUCCUGGGGCUGUAGUCGGUCCCAAGGGUUGGGCUGUUCGCCCAUUAAAGCGGUACGCGAGCUGGGUUCAGAACGUCGUGAGACAGUUCGGUCCCUAUCCGUCGUGGGCGUAGGAAAUUUGAGAGGAGCUGUCCUUAGUACGAGAGGACCGGGAUGGACAUACCUCUGGUGUACCAGUUGUCGUGCCAACGGCAUAGCUGGGUAGCUAUGUGUGGACGGGAUAAGUGCUGAAAGCAUCUAAGCAUGAAGCCCCCCUCAAGAUGAGAUUUCCCAACUUCGGUUAUAAGAUCCCUCAAAGAUGAUGAGGUUAAUAGGUUCGAGGUGGAAGCAUGGUGACAUGUGGAGCUGACGAAUACUAAUCGAUCGAAGACUUAAUCAA
rnacentral:rRNA from 1 species